rnacentral:rRNA from 1 species
UACGUAGGGUGCGAGCGUUGUCCGGAAUUACUGGGCGUAAAGAGCUCGUAGGUGGUUUGUCGCGUUGUCCGUGAAAACUCACAGCUUAACUGUGGGCGUGCGGGCGAUACGGGCAGACUGGAGUACUGCAGGGGAGACUGGAAUUCCUGGUGUAGCGGUGGAAUGCGCAGAUAUCAGGAGGAACACCGGUGGCGAAGGCGGGGUCUCUGGGCAGUAACUGACGCUGAGGAGCGAAAGCGUGGGGAGCGAACAGG